GAUGAACGCUGGCGGCGUGCCUAAUACAUGCAAGUCGAACGAAACUUCUUUAUCACCGAGUGCUUGCACUCACCGAUAAAGAGUUGAGUGACGAACGGGUAAGUAACACGUGGGCAACCUGCCCAAAAGAGGAGGAUAACACUUUGAAACAGGUGCUAAUACCGCAUAACCAUAGUUACCGCAUGGUAACUAUGUAAAAGGUGGCUAUACUACCGCUGUUGGAUGGGCCCGCGGCGCAUUAGCUAGUUGGUAGGGUAAAGGCUUACCAAGGCAAUGAUGCGUAGCCGAAUUGAGAGGUUGAUCGGCCACAUUGGGACUGAGACACGGCCCAAACUCCUACGGGAGGCAGCAGUAGGGAAUCUUCCACAAUGGGCGAAAGCCUGAUGGAGCAACGCCGCGUGGGUGAAGAAGGUCUUCGGAUCGUAAAACCCUGUUGUUAGAGAAGAAAGUGCGUGAGAGUAACUGUUCACGUUUCGACGGUAUCUAACCAGAAAGCCACGGCUAACUACGUG
rnacentral:rRNA from 1 species